UUCUUCUUAAUGAGCUUAGAUGGAUGCAACUGGAUUGGUCCAAAGACUCAACCAGGAAAAUGAUACCAAAGAAUGAAUUGAAUGAUUGUUUAGUUCAAAUGUAAAUGAAUUGAAUGUUUCAUUUUCUUCUUAAGAUAUGAAUUUUUGCAUGGUCAACAAGGAUAUAUAUGUGUAUCAAAUUGUUGCUGCAUAUAUAUGAAUUUCUGCUAGCCAUCCUAGCUCGGAAAAUAUUAGUGUACAUCCAAUUGUUCCCACUUGACUUAGAGAAAAGGCCCAUUUGGUUUUAGGGGAUAGUGAUUGAGGGUUUUUGUUAUAUAUCUGUUGUGUUCAAUUUUGUUGUUAGUUUAGAAGCAGUUAUUCUCCCACGUUUAAUCUUCCCACGUUUUCCAAGAUCAAAAUACUGAACUCCCUAUUCUAGAGUCUAGACCGUGCAGAAACCAGUUAUUGGUAAGCAGAAGACGAUCUCCUCAAGGAGAAGUUCGCCAACAGAAAAAGGUAUGGUUUACUUCUAUCAAAUUGUUGACUUUGAUGAGGGUUUCAACUUUUCUUUUCCUUCUUCGUGUAGUUCUCGAAGAUAGGGGGUCUUGGUAAAUAAAAAACAUAUUGCAGAGGGAGAAGAGAUGGAAGACUAAAUCGGUUAGGUACCUAAUCAUGUUAUCUCUACGUUUGAUGUUAAAGGGAAGCAGAUGGGCAUGCUUAGUAUGAAGGAGAAGAAUUCGUUUUUAACACAUAAGGACAACUGAGAUCAUAUUCUUCACUUACGAAUAAUCAGUGGAAGCUUUCAGUUUUGGGGUUUUGGAUAUAUUUUGGUUCUAGGUCUGGAGAUAGUAAUAUAAUGUUUUCGUUUCAUAUUUUUCCUUCCGUUGAUUUACAAUUUGUAAUGGUGCAUGAGAUUUUGGUUAUAGCAAGCGGCUUGCGAUUUCAUCCCUCCUUAUGAACUCUCCUUUUUUUGUUUUUUUCCUUUUUUUUUCCGGUCGCCAAGUGGGAACAAGACAUAUUAUGAUUUCAGGAAACCAGGUGAUUCAAUUUACUAAUCCAAUCGUUUUCAUACUUUUUGCUUUUGUCUUUAUUUUUUGUUGCCGUUUAGGCCUCUGUAUAUUUGUUAAGGUCUUUUUGGUGAGAUUCUGCUUUACCACUUUAAGAAUUUUGGUUAUUGGUUUUGCUGCUUUGGUCAUCUUAAUUAUUGAAUGAUUUUGAAUCCGAGUCUAACGAUUGAAUCAUUGUCAUCCAUAUACAAUACUAAUAAUGGACUUGCUGACUAAGCGGGUAUUCGAUGUGUUCUUGGUCAUUUACUUAUGGGUAAUUCAUGCUAGAGGGAUUGAUUUAUAAUUUUUGUAGGUGUUAAUAAUCUCUUUGUUCUAAAUGUAUGGACAUAAACUUUUGAGCCAAAGAUGAUUGAACAUGAAUACUGACAGGGAUCAAAGUUUUUGCCAAACUUUGAAAAAUCUAAGGUGUUUUCAUUGCUUGGAAUUAUUGUCAUAUUUUGAUUCGAUGCAACCCAAAAGUCUGGAGAACUGUAGCUUUGUGGUUUGAUGCUUUGUUUUGUUAAUUUUAAUUGAUGGUUGAGCUGCGUAAAAAAUAUUGAUAGAGAACAAUUAAUGGAAGAUUACUUAUCUCUUUGUGCUUGAUACUCAUAACUUUCUUUGGCGAUUUCUUUUUCUCUCAAAUAAAAAAAGAAGGGUGUUUUUGUUGGUGAAUGUUUUGGAGUUUAAUUAGAAAAGCGAUCUGUUUUAUGUUUUAUACCAUUAUCAUUCUUGGGUCUAAGCUGUUGUCCAAACAUGUUACUAAGAGUUAUAUUCUUGCAGACUUUCAGUACACCAAUUUCUCAACUAGAAAGGCUUACCAUGAUCUAGCAAUUUCCACCAUGUACGUCAUUACUUGAACUUUAAAUUUUCAUGCGGACAUUCUAUAUGGUUUUUCAUCUGAUGAUCAUUAGUAUGGUUGUUGAUUGUACUACCUCACAUUUGAGGUUUUCCACCUAUUGUUCAGGUAACAAUAGGUAAACCCGUUGAGUUGUCAGGUUAGUCAAUAUUUCUCUUUUUGUUAUUCAAAUCUCUACAUUUGGAUACUACUGUCCUAUUUGCUUACUUUCUUGGUUCAGAUUUCAUUGUGUUUCCAAUGAUAAUUAUUGGCAAGAUUCUAUUAGUUUUCAUGUCAUGUUUCACUGAGUUGGAUGUGCGAGUAGUUUAGAAUUAAUGGUUUUUAUUACUUGCGGUAUUAAUAAUGUGCAACAAAGUAUCUUAGAGCAUUAUAUAUGGUUAAUGACUUUAGCUUAUGAUAUGAUAGCACUGACCCAUUUUAUAUGUACUGUUAAACAUGCUGUAUUUGUUUUCUUUUUCAUACCUCCUGUGAGAUAUUAUAGUAAUUUGCAACAUGUUGGAUUGGCUAUAAGACGAGACAUUGAGGAAUGCAGUUGCAAAGUUUAAGGGGAAGAAAUGAAGACAAUAGGUUUUUGUUUAUUCAAUCAUGCUUAAGUGGAGAUUGUAGUUACUAACUUCAGUAGGUAUUGAGCUUUUAGGUGGCAAUUAGACAUGUUUGACAAAUGUACUCUUUUAUUUUUUGUUUUUAGGUUAGUAUUUUCUCUCGUACUAUUCUAAUGUCAUGGAUGAUGUUUUUUUAUCUAUGUAUUAAGACUAUGUAGUUUGCAUUCAAUCAAUUA